GAAGGGGGGACGGAGAAGGCUAUGUUAGCCGGGCGACGGUUGUCCCGGUUUAAGCAUGUAGGCUGAUUGUCCAGGCAAAUCCGGAUAAUCAAGGCUGAGGUGUGAUGACGAGGCACUACGGUGCUGAAGUAACAAAUGCCCUGCUUCCAGGAAAAGCCUCUAAGCAUCAGGUAACAUUAAAUCGUACCCCAAACCGACACAGGUGGUCAGGUAGAGAAUACCAAGGCGCUUGAGAGAACUCGGGUGAAGGAACUAGGCAAAAUGGUGCCGUAACUUCGGGAGAAGGCACGCUGGUGUGUAGGUGAAGUCCCUGCGGAUGGAGCUGAGACCAGUCGAAGAUACCAGCUGGCUGCAACUGUUUAUUAAAAACACAGCACUGUGCAAACACGAAAGUGGACGUAUACGGUGUGACGCCUGCCCGGUGCCGGAAGGUUAAUUGAUGGGGUUAUCCGUAAGGAGAAGCUCUUGAUCGAAGCCCCGGUAAACGGCGGCCGUAACUAUAACGGUCCUAAGGUAGCGAAAUUCCUUGUCGGGUAAGUUCCGACCUGCACGAAUGGCGUAAUGAUGGCCAGGCUGUCUCCACCCGAGACUCAGUGAAAUUGAACUCGCUGUGAAGAUGCAGUGUACCCGCGGCAAGACGGAAAGACCCCGUGAACCUUUACUAUAGCUUGACACUGAACAUUGAGCCUUGAUGUGUAGGAUAGGUGGGAGGCUUUGAAGCGUGGACGCCAGUCUGCGUGGAGCCAACCUUGAAAUACCACCCUUUAAUGUUUGAUGUUCUAACGUUGGCCCCUGACCGGGGUUGCGGACAGUGUCUGGUGGGUAGUUUGACUGGGGCGGUCUCCUCCCAAAGCGUAACGGAGGAGCACGAAGGUUAGCUAAUCCUGGUCGGACAUCAGGAGGUUAGUGCAAUGGCAUAAGCUAGCUUGACUGCGAGCGUGACGGCGCGAGCAGGUGCGAAAGCAGGUCAUAGUGAUCCGGUGGUUCUGAAUGGAAGGGCCAUCGCUCAACGGAUAAAAGGUACUCCGGGGAUAACAGGCUGAUACCGCCCAAGAGUUCAUAUCGACGGCGGUGUUUGGCACCUCGAUGUCGGCUCAUCACAUCCUGGGGCUGAAGUAGGUCCCAAGGGUAUGGCUGUUCGCCAUUUAAAGUGGUACGCGAGCUGGGUUUAGAACGUCGUGAGACAGUUCGGUCCCUAUCUGCCGUGGGCGCUGGAGAAUUGAGGGGGGCUGCUCCUAGUACGAGAGGACCGGAGUGGACGCAUCACUGGUGUUCGGGUUGUCAUGCCAAUGGCACUGCCCGGUAGCUAAAUGCGGAAGAGAUAAGUGCUGAAAGCAUCUAAGCACGAAACUUGCCCCGAGAUGAGUUCUCCCUGAGACUUUAAGUCUCCUGAAGGAACGUUAAAGACGAUGACGUUGAUAGGCCGGGUGUGUAAGCGCAGCGAUGCGUUGAGCUAACCGGUACUAAUGAACCGUGAGGCUUAACCUU
rnacentral:rRNA from 1 species